AGUGAACGCUGGCGGCGUGCCUAACACAUGCAAGUCGAACGGCAGCACAGUAAGAUUGUGCUCUUACGGGUGGCGAGUGGCGGACGGGUGAGGAAUACAUCGGAAUCUACUUUUUCGGGGGGGAUAACGUAGGGAAGCUUACGCUAAUACCGCAUACGACCUACGGGUGAAAGCAGGGGAUCUUCGGACCUUGCGCGACUGAAUUAGCCGAUGUCGGAUUAGCUAGUUGGGGGGGUAAAGGCCCACCAAGGCGACGAUACGUAGCUGGUCUGAGAGGAUGAUCGGCCACACUGGAACUGAGACACGGUCCAGACUCCUACGGGAGGCAGCAGUGGGGAAUAUUGGGCAAUGGGCGAAAGCCUGAUCCAGCCAUCCCGCGUGGGUGAAGAAGGCCUUCGGGUUGUAAAGCCCUUUUGUUGGGAAAGAACAGCAGCAGGUUAAUCCCCCGCUGUUCUGACGGUACCCAAUGAAUAAGCACCGGCUAACUUCGUG
rnacentral:rRNA from 1 species